GUAGUCAUUAACCCGUGUUGUCUUCCCAGCUUCCUCCUAUUUGUCUGUGGUGUCUCACUUUGAGCAAGUGGCCCCGGAGCUUGAGCAAUCAAAGGACCGUGAUGUCGAAGACCGCACUGGCUGACUCAACGCUGUCUGGGUCAGCGUCCUUAUUUAGUCCCUUCCUCUUCUUGGUUUCGGAUCCCAGCCCGCGUGUGUGUCCUUUGCACAAGGAACAGGUGGCCUUCCACGAUUCCACAGGAUGGCAGUCCACAGUGUUUGCUGUGAUUGGUCUCAUGACGCACAGUCCAUUUUUUAUGGCCCCAGAGAUCAGCGGGCACUUGAGUUUUGUAGACAGAAGUGAAAGGUCUCUGCCAAGAGUUGCCCACGCUCCUGGCGUUUCCUUCAGCCUGGUUGCCUUUUUAUUUGUGUCCCUAACAGAUGUCCUGGAUUUAAAGAACUUGUUCAUUUUUCAGGGGAACCACCGUGGACAAAGAAGAUACUUUAGAGUGAGCAUUGUGAGUUGGCACAAGAUAAAACUGGGAAGGUGACCCAGAUCCUAGCCCUGGCUGUCAGGCAGAGUGACCCUGGACCGGUCUGUAGCUCUUCCAUUGUAAAAGCAUUAAAACAACAGAAACAAUGCUGUGGGAUGAGUCUGACACCAAUCACACGACAGCACGUAAGCAUCCAGCAGAAACAGGCUCACUGUCUUGAACUACCUGGAUUUUAACCGAGAAGAGAAUGCAUCCUUAGGGCUAACAGAUGCUUUGGGCCCAACAUCAACCUCUGACACAAUUCAGAGAUUUAUGGAAAUAAGAUAUGAAAAAGAUACAUGAGACCCUCACAAUGAAAGUGUUACUGACAGCAUUCAGAACACAUUGGACUCCUAAUAGCAAAAUGGAAUGUUGAAAAAGUUUAGUUUUGUUGAAAGUUCAUGGAAGAAUGUAGUAGGUAUGCUUUAGGAUGUCUCUCAUCCACAGUACAUUUCCUUAGGAUCAUCCCUUACCAACAGACUCUCCUGAAGCCGAGGGCUUAGGUGACCACAUCUCUAUAGCCAUCACCCCCGCCACAGCUGAUGGAACCAGGGCGACGCCAGUGUCAGCUUGAUAGGGAAUACUGAACACAACCAGACCAAGAUGGUCUCUACGGAAACCAGAAAGCAAGGUCACAGAGGACGUGGGAUGCAAUUGUGUGUGGAAAGCCAAAGGCACGGCAAGCUGGAACUAGAGGGAAGGGGUGGACACAGCAGCGACAGCAAUAAUCGAGGCAGCUGACACUUAUGCUGUGUGUGCCAGCCACCUCUCUCUCUCAGGUGGGUACCUCUCUCAGGUGGGUAAUACCUGUCACUUUCUUGAUUGUAAAAUGAGGACACCAAGACUUGGAUGUGAUCACUUUCCUAAGGUCGCACAGCUGGGACGUGGCAGAGGCGGAAGGCAGCCCAAGUGACGCAGCUCUCAAGCUCGCUUACAAAAUCCCCACAAGCAUCCUUCUGCCUCACAGGAAGCCCAGGAGGCAGCUGGAGGGAGGAGGAUGGGAGGGACGUGCAGGAGAAGCAGACCACGAGACGCAGCGGGGCAGGGAGAACAUUGAGCAGCGGCCUCCUGCCUGAGAAGCCUGGCGUCCCAGCUCCAGUCCGCACGUGAGCUUGCUGUGCUUGGCGGGAGGUCUGCGUCCUACGCCACCCUCCCUCUCCUCCUCCGUGCCUUUGAGGAGAACGAGUUUCAGUGGAUUUCUGUUCCUUGACGUCAAAGAAUGCUUCUAGAAUGAAGAAGCAUCCACAAGGAUGGAGGGGUUGGGUGGACAUUUCUUAUACAGGGGUCAGGGCAGAGAGCAUUAUCUCAACGUCCUCUGGUUGGGAUGCUAUUUUUUCCACCUUAUAGGUUUAGAAAGACGAGCACCUGCAAUUCAUGAAGGGAACGUCUUCUCAAGGGAAACUCUGCAAGAGGAAACCAAGCUGCCGCGUGAGCUUGGAAUUACUUGGAAUACCCUUGGCUAAAUUACAGCUGCUGAAUCCAGUUUCUUAAGAUGUUGUCUUUUAGGACCUUUGCCCCAAUUUCCUUAAAGGAAUUACUUGUUCAUUUUUCAAGGCUUUUACCCACCUCUAGGACCCUCACCCCACUCAUCACCUGCCUCUGAUGCAAGGCACCACUUACAAGCUGCUGCUCUCCUCGAGAUGAAAAAGCUGGAAUCCUAAACAGUGUGCCAAGUCCUUGGUAUAGCUUUGGGAGGAAGCUGUCCUAUCGUGGAAACGACAUGAGCUGGGAAGCUCCCUUGGUCCCUUGGGUUUGCCAGGGAGGAUCAGACCAAGGGAGCUUCCAGGAAUGCAGGAGCAGGUACACCAAGGAGAGAGCCUUCGUCUUUGAAAGGCUCUGAUGGAGGUCAGCUGGGCAGAUAUGGAAUCACCCAGGAGGGGAGGAUGCUCCAACUACAGGGCAAGCCGGCCACUGUGCAAAGUUCAGAGCCAUGGCUCAGGUGGCUCAAUCUUUGGUUUUUCAGGGUCUGGAGAGCUGGCUCCGGUUUUUCCAAUUACACUCAAACACACCAGCAAGGGAAAAAUCCACUUUGGCUCACUCAUUUAUUUAUUCUCCUCUCUUGUGACUUCCCAAAGGGCUUUAUGAAUGCUGUGUGACUUUAGCUCUUUGAGCCCUUGAAGAAUGGUUUGGGAACCAACAACCUUUUCCUCUAAGCAAAUUUUAGCGUUCUUUCUGAGUUGAGCCACUGAGGACUUCCUGUUUAAGGCUGAAAAUAUUUAAGUGAGCAAGCAGCUCCAGCCAGUUUAAGGGGCACCGGAGUUGUUGCAAGGCAGAGCAUUUUAGUACACGAGCAUCAGCCUGGCACAAAGUCACGGGUUACCUCACCUGUCCUCCGAGUUAAUCUUGUUAUGUUAAUGGGUGUCCUUUCCCUACUGUGGAGACUCGAUGUUCUUGGCACCUGGACAGCGCCCUAAGGCUUGACUCAGAGGCGCACAAGGACUUGUGGAGAACUUGGUCAUUGCCAGUAGGGGCUGCAGACACUCCCUGACCAGCGAGUGGUCCCAGAUUCCCAGGAAUGUGUGCACCUGAGGACCCUGAAAGACCUGCUCCAGAAAAGCAGCCUCAGAUGAAAGGGAGGGACUCCUGGGGGUUCCUUUGGGACUCAGCAUAUACCUUACCUUCUUUACGGCAUCAUGGCCGUCUUCUCCUUUCCCAAGGGAAGCAUCAUUUUCACACCUGCAUGGUGCCCUGGAUGUGAUGUCCUAGCUCAAGUGUUCUUACACUCCUGUUCUUCUGAAGAAGCUUGAUCUGUCACGGAAACUUGCUUCAUAAAACACAGAACACCUAGUGUCAGCAGUGCACGAGAGAGGGCUAGGGAACUCCAUUUAGGGUGCCCCUCAGCAUGUGGCGGGAACAGCCCCCAAUUACCCUACAGGGUAUUUAUUCAUUUUCCUGCUCCCUGGGUGGGUAGCCUGUGUCUUUCAAGAGUGGGGGCCUCGUCGGGCAGCUCCACACUGCCUGCAAAGCCUGGGGAUGUGCCAUGGCCUCCGAGUCGAGUGGACUGCCAGGUGCAGGAAGAAUCCGUUAUUAUCACUCUUGGCCUGGUGUAUAAUCCACAAAGUGCCUAGGAGAAAACUCACCUGCUAAAUAAGGGUUCAUUUUCUGAUUUAGGAAAAAAAAAGAAUAAAGCAAAUUUUCU
rnacentral:lncRNA from 1 species